rnacentral:rRNA from 1 species
UACAGAGGGGGCAAGCGUUGCUCGGAAUUACUGGGCGUAAAGGGCGCGUAGGCGGCCUGCUAAGUCGAACGUGAAAUCCCCGAGCUCAACUCGGGAACUGCGUCCGAUACUGGCAGGCUUGAAUCCGGGAGAGGGAUGCGGAAUUCCAGGUGUAGCGGUGAAAUGCGUAGAUAUCUGGAGGAACACCGGUGGCGAAGGCGGCAUCCUGGACCGAUACUGACGCUGAGGAGCGAAAGCCAGGGGAGCAAACGGG